rnacentral:rRNA from 1 species
CCCGAAGUAUCCUGAAUCUUUCGCAUUGUUAAUCAUACAUAUGCUUAUAAUAAACACAAAAAUCAAUGAUAAUUAUGCCAUUAUAUAAUUCCGAAAAAUUAGCGCACAGUAUUCAUAUAAAUCUAUCAACACUUUAUCAAAUUUACGACAAUUUAUUUUAUGUUAUAAUGCAAGCAAAAUAAUUUAAAUAAGCAAUAAUUCAAAAUUUUUUGAUAAAUUUAAUUAUGUUAAUAGAUUACAAUGUCCUUAUAUGGAAAAAAUGCACACUAUUAUUAUAAUAUUAUNAAAAUAUUACAAUUCUAAUGAUGAAUUUUCCAUAAUGGAUAUUCAGGUUCAUCGGGC